GUCCCUGAAGAGUGCAAUGAAUAGCACGUUGGAUUUCUAAUCCAAAGGCCGUGGGUUCUAAUCCUACCUUGGAUG